rnacentral:rRNA from 1 species
UACGGGGGGGGCAAGCGUUGUUCGGAAUUACUGGGCGUAAAGGGCUCGUAGGCGGCCAACUAAGUCAGACGUGAAAUCCCUCGGCUUAACCGGGGAACUGCGUCUGAUACUGGAUGGCUUGAGUUCGGGAGAGGGAUGCGGAAUUCCAGGUGUAGCGGUGAAAUGCGUAGAUAUCUGGAGGAACACCGGUGGCGAAGGCGGCAUCCUGGACCGACACUGACGCUGAGGAGCGGAAGCCAGGGGAGCAAACGGG